CCUACGGGAGGCAGCAGUGGGGAAUAUUGGACAAUGGGCGCAACCCUGAUCCAGCGACGCCGCGUGAGGGAAGAAGGAUCUCGGUAUGUAAAGCUCUAUCUGCAGGGAAGAAAAUGGCGGUACUUGUCCAGGAAUCCGCGUCCAACUACGUGCCAGCAGCGGUGGUAAUACGAAGGGGGCAAGCGUUAUCCGGAUUAACUGGGUGUAAAGGGAGCGUAGUCGGCUGCACAAGUCUGCUGUGAAAGCCCGGGGCUUAACCCCAGAACUGCAUUUGAAACUGUGCGGCUGGAGUACAGGAGAGGUAGGCGGAAUUCGUAGUGUAGCGGUGAAAUGCGUAGAUAUUAGGAAGAACACCGAUGGCGAAGGCAGCUUGCUGGACUGUAACUGACGCUGAGGCGCGAAAGCGUGGGGAGCAAACAGGAUUAGAUACCCCGGUAGUC
rnacentral:rRNA from 1 species